AGGCAGCAGUAGGGAAUCUUCCGCAAUGGACGAAAGUCUGACGGAGCAACGCCGCGUGAGUGAUGAAGGUUUUCGGAUCGUAAAGCUCUGUUGCCAGGGAAGAACGCUUGGGAGAGUAACUGCUCUCAAGGUGACGGUACCUGAGAAGAAAGCCCCGGCUAACUACGUGCCAGCAGCCGCGGUAAU
rnacentral:rRNA from 1 species